rnacentral:rRNA from 1 species
CCCGCUGAACUUAAGCAUAUCAAUAAGCGGAGGAAAAGAAACUAACAAGGAUUCCCCUAGUAACUGCGAGUGAAGCGGGAAAAGCUCAAAUUUAAAAUCUGUCAGUCUUUGGCUGUCCGAGUUGUAAUCUAGAGAAGUGUUAUCCGCGCUGGACCGUGUACAAGUCUCCUGGAAUGGAGCGUCAUAGAGGGUGAGAAUCCCGUCUUUGACACGGACUGCCAGGGCUUUUGUGAUGCGCUCUCAAAGAGUCGAGUUGUUUGGGAAUGCAGCUCAAAAUGGGUGGUAAAUUCCAUCUAAAGCUAAAUAUUGGCGAGAGACCGAUAGCGAACAAGUACCGUGAGGGAAAGAUGAAAAGAACUUUGGAAAGAGAGUUAAACAGUACGUGAAAUUGCUGAAAGGGAAACGCUUGAAGUCAGUCGCGUCAUCCAGGAAUCAACCUUGCUUUUGCUUGGUGUACUUUCUGGUUGACGGGUCUGCAUCAAUUUUGACCAUUGGAAAAAGAUUAAGGGAAUGUGGCAUACAUAGUGAUGUGUUAUAGCCCUUGGUUGCAUACAAUGGUUGGGAUUGAGGAACUCAGCACGCCGCAUGGCCGGGUUUUUAUUAACCACGAACGUGCUUAGGAUGUUGGCAUAAUGGCUUUAAUCGACCCGUCUUGAAACACGG